CACACCCAAUCGCAGAUCCGCUUUAUUGUUUAUUUCGGCCCUCCCCAUACACACACACACACACUCGCAUAGAAGCACCAACACACGCGGUAUACUGGAAAUAGCGCUGACUUAAUCAAUGGGAAACGAAGAUCACGCCUGGGGCUGUCCUGCGUUGGUUACCUAAGUUCUGGAUGCUUACCCGCUUCCGCUUCUUCAGGCAAAAUCCGCUCCAUGGCUCACUAGAUGACACUAGGAAAAGUUUGUUUUAUGUCCGGUUUUGCACAUUUUACUGGCAUCGUGCACAAGCACUGCAAGCACGCACACACGCUGAGUGGGGAAAUCAAAAUGGUGGAGGCAGCACGGCUUGAACAGGAAUAUUGGCGCGAAUCGGUGCUGGAACAAUUAGCUAUUCACAUCAAGAUAUAUAUGUGUUUCUUAUUUUGUUGUGCUCUACCGACGAAUGAGGGAAGAGACGGAGAAAAAUUGCUAUGGCAAUGCUGUAGGGGGUGCAUGCAAGCAUGGUCACCUUUAAGUUAUCGAUAGCUAGGCACGGUGAAUCAUUUAUUAUUUCGAGCUCGAUUAAUAUCUAAUUUAAUUUUUGUAAUUGU
rnacentral:lncRNA from 1 species